rnacentral:rRNA from 1 species
AGAGCUUGCUCUCUGAUUCAGCGGCGGACGGGUGAGUAAUGCCUAGGAAUCUGCCUGGUAGUGGGGGACAACGUCUCGAAAGGGACGCUAAUACCGCAUACGUCCUACGGGAGAAAGCAGGGGACCUUCGGGCCUUGCGCUAUCAGAUGAGCCUAGGUCGGAUUAGCUAGUUGGUGAGGUAAUGGCUCACCAAGGCGACGAUCCGUAACUGGUCUGAGAGGAUGAUCAGUCACACUGGAACUGAGACACGGUCCAGACUCCUACGGGAGGCAGCAGUGGGGAAUAUUGGACAAUGGGCGAAAGCCUGAUCCAGCCAUGCCGCGUGUGUGAAGAAGGUCUUCGGAUUGUAAAGCACUUUAAGUUGGGAGGAAGGGCAGUAAGCGAAUACCUUGCUGUUUUGACGUUACCGACAGAAUAAGCACCGGCUAACUCUGUGCCAGCAGCCGCGGUAAUACAGAGGGUGCAAGCGUUAAUCGGAAUUACUGGGCGUAAAGCGCGCGUAGGUGGUUUGUUAAGUUGAAUGUGAAAUCCCCGGGCUCAACCUGGGAACUGCAUCCAAAACUGGCAAGCUAGAGUAGGGCAGAGGGUGGUGGAAUUUCCUGUGUAGCGGUGAAAUGCGUAGAUAUAGGAAGGAACACCAGUGGCGAAGGCGACCACCUGGGCUCAUACUGACACUGAGGUGCGAAAGCGUGGGGGAGCAAACAGGAUUAGAUACCCUGGUAGUCCACGCCGUAAACGAUGUCAACUAGCCGUUGGAAGCCUUGAGCUUUUAGUGGCGCAGCUAACGCAUUAAGUUGACCGCCUGGGGAGUACGGCCGCAAGGUUAAAACUCAAAUGAAUUGACGGGGGCCCGCACAAGCGGUGGAGCAUGUGGUUUAAUUCGAAGCAACGCGAAGAACCUUACCAGGCCUUGACAUCCAAUGAACUUUCCAGAGAUGGAUUGGUGCCUUC